rnacentral:rRNA from 1 species
UACGUAGGGGGCAAGCGUUGUCCGGAAUCAUUGGGCGUAAAGAGCGUGUAGGCGGUCCGGUAAGUCGGUUGUGAAAGCCCAGGGCUCAACCCUGGGAUGCCGACCGAUACUGUCGGACUAGAGUUCGGAAGAGGCGAGUGGAAUUCCCGGUGUAGCGGUGAAAUGCGCAGAUAUCUGGAGGAAUACCGGUGGCGAAGGCGGCAUCCUGGACCGACAUUGACGCUGAGGAGCGAAAGCUAGGGGAGCAAACGGG